GGCGUUAGCACGUCAAGAAGUUUCUCCUUCCCGAGAUGGAGCAACCACCUUUUAAGAAGAGGCGGCUGACGGAAAUGGGCAGUGACAUCGAGCCCAUGGAGGUGGACCUGCCUGGCAGCGACACAGAGCCCAUGGAGGUGGAUCUACCUCCGGAGGAUGAUAUGAUGGAGGUGGAUCCACCUCUGCUGGGGCAGACCAGCCACCACGCCACCGUCAGGCUGAGAAGGAGAUCGCGCCCCAGGGAUCGCCGGCGCGCCAGGACUCGUCCACCUCCAUCCAAACGGCCGCCUCGACGCCGGUGCUGAUGCUCCCAUCCCCCAAGGCUCCUACGAGUCUGUCCUUCCCAUCCCCCUCCUUUGUCCUUCCCCAAGUCCUCUCAUCUCUUCUUCACCGAGUCUGAGGAAGAGGGCAGGGCGGGGACUGCCAUCCUCCGAGCUGCUGUGCCGGCGCAGCGCGACGAGUCCAGCAGAGGGACCUUAACUGCCGGGGGCCUCGA
rnacentral:lncRNA from 1 species